rnacentral:lncRNA from 1 species
CUUCCAGCAGCCAAGACAGCCGCGGGUAAUGGCUAUAUUCCAAAGCAAGUGCUAAUGUCACAAGUUUUACCAUUUCUAAAGGGGUCUUCAAAAUAUGGAGGUGUCAUGCUUUGGAAUAGAAAAUUUGAUGUCCAAUGUGGCUAUAGCUCUGCUAUCAGGGGUGCUGUUUAAGUUCUGAAUGAACAAGGCGCCCCUGAAUCGCUAUAAGCCAUCGUUAAGGCCUAAAUAAAGCAAGUUAAUUUGCUGUUAUCUGCCUAGAAAGUACUUAAGUUUUAAUUUGUACUGAUGAAAAUGUGAAGGUCAUCUUGUUUCCUUCUUGAUAAUAGUAGUAC